rnacentral:rRNA from 1 species
GACGAACGCUGGCGGCGUGCUUAACACAUGCAAGUCGAACGGAGUGGCGAACGGUUGAGUAACACGUGGGUGACCUGCCCUGCACUUCGGGCUAAGCCUGGGACACUGGGUCUCAUACCGGAUAGGGUGUGAUGGGCCCGCGGCCUAUCAGCUUGUUGGUGGGGUAAUGGCCUACCAAGGCGGCGACGGGUAGCCGGCCUGCGAGGGUGGACGGCCAAAUGGGGACUGAGCGACGGCACAGACUACUACGGGAGGCAGCAGUGGGGAAUAGUGCACAAUGGGCGGAAGGCUGAUGCAGAGACGCUGCGGGGGGGAUGACGGCCUUCGGGUUGUAAACUCCUUUCACCAUCGACGCGGUAGAUGGAGAAGAAGCACCGGCUAACUACGUGCCAGCCGCCGCGGUAAUAC